rnacentral:rRNA from 1 species
GACGAACGCUGGCGGCGUGCCUAACACAUGCAAGUCGAACGGUAAGGCCUUGUUUUUGUGUGGUGCGCGAGUGGCGAACGGGUGAGUAACACGUGAGUAACCUGCCCUUGACUUUGGGGUAACUUCAGGAAACUUGAGCUAAUAUCCGAUAUAAGCUCCUGCUGCAUGGUGGUUGUGGGAAAGUUGCGGCGGUGCGGGAUGGACUCGCGGUUUAUCAGCGUGUUGGUGGGGUAGUGGCUUACCAAGGCUUUGACGGGUAGCCGGCCUGAGAGCGUGACCGGGCACAAUGGGCCUGAGGUAGGGCCCAGACGGGAACGGGGGGCAGCGGUGGGAAAUAUUGCGCAAUGGGCGGAAGCCUGGUGCAGCGACGCCGCGUGCGGAAUGACGGUCUUCGGGUUGUAAACCGCUUUCGCCUGUGACGAAGCGUGAGUGACGGUAAUGGGUAAAGAAGCACCGGCUAACUACGUG